AGAGUUUUGAGGGACCACAGGGAUCUCAGGGCAGAAAGUGCAAUAUCAACAGAUGAAAUCUAAAAGACAGCCAAAGAGAAAGCUGCUCUUCCAGAUGGAUCUGCUUUAUAGAUACUUCCCAGACUCUUCAUCUUCAGUGGAAUU